CUGCAUGCAGGCUGUGGGAAAGGUGAACGUCACCUGUCUGUUCAUCAAUGCUUUUGCAAAGAAGGUUUCCAGCAGGCAAGUUGGCUGGGAAAACGGUUCUUAGGAGCCUUUAGGUUUGAGCGUGAGCCAGAACCAUAAGAAUGAUGUGAGCUACGAGAGCUGUGUGGGCUAUGUGAGCUAUAACUGGGUGUGACGGAUGACACAGAUGUAACCAUCAGAACUGUAGGAGAGCCAUCUGCAAGAGAUGUCUACAGACUAGCAUGGUGGCGGACUGUUGUUAGGAUGUCUGCAAGAGAUGUCAGCAGCCAGCCAACCAAGAUGUGCUAGUGUCUGGUCGUAAUCAAGAUAUUGACGGAGUAUUCGCAAUGACAGUGAAUUUCAGAUGAGUUAAUACUGAUACAAACUGAACAGGUUUAAAACGAUUAAUGUACUAAGGCUCGGACAUUGACUAAUUGGUUCCAACUAGUAAACCAUGGACAUUGGAAUACAGUUUUUAUGAGUUUAAUUUAAGGUUGGGGUAGUGUUAUGCUAGAGUCAUAUCAUCAUUUUGUAUAUUCAUGUUUUGUAUAUAAAUUUGUUGUUUGA